rnacentral:rRNA from 1 species
CAGUUCAGAUUGCAGGCUGCAACUCGCCUGCAUGAAGUCGGAAUUGCUAGUAAUCGUAGGUCAGCAUACUACGGUGAAUACGUUCCCGGGCCCUUGUACACACCGCCCGUCAAACCAUGAGAGUUGGCAACACCCGAAGUCGGUAGUCUAACCGCAAGGAGGACGCUGCCGAAGGUGGGAUUAGCGACUGGGGUGAAGUCGUAACAAGGUAGC